GGCCGCCUGGCGAAAUGGCAUCGCGUCUGACUACGAUUACGUCAUCAGGAGAUUGCAGGUUCGACCCCUGCGGUGGUCA
rnacentral:tRNA from 1 species